CGGAGGACAGAGAAGGUAAGGCAGUUGGGUACCGUACUGCCCUCUACUGGUUAUUGCCUCCAAAAGUAAAAUGAUGCUGGAAACAUUUGCCUUUCCCUAAUAUGUAGAAGGGAAUGAGCAGUGCUUUGCUUGCAGACAGUAA